rnacentral:tRNA from 1 species
GGGGAUAUAGCUAAGUGGUAAAGUGUUUGCCUAGCAUGUAUGAGGCCUUAGUUCAAGCCCUAAUACCACCA